CCCUUAGAUGUUCUGGGCCGCACGCGCGCUACACUGAACAGUUCAACAAGUCUUAACCUUGGCCGAUAGGUCUGGGUAAUCUUUGAACGCUGUUCGUGAUUGGGAUAGACCUUUGCAAUUAUGGGUCUUCAACGAGGAAUUCCUAGUAAACGCAAGUCAUCAGCUUGCAUUGAUUACGUCCCUGCCCUUUGUACACACCGCCCGUCGCACCUACCGAUUGAAUGGUCCGGUGAAAUCUCGGGACGGCGGCUUGGUCGCUUGCGUCCGACUGCUGAAACUUGAUUAAACCUUAUCAUUUAGAGGAAGGUGAAGUCGUAACA
rnacentral:rRNA from 1 species